CCUAAUUCCCUUCUCAGUUCUCAUUCAUCGAGCUUCAGUGAAGCUGCUUCAGAGGUGAGAACGCCUCAGUGCCUCACUCUCACACGGGUCGAGCCACCGCCGUCGAGCCACCGCAGUCGAGCCACCGCAGCAGCCGUCGAGAACUGAGAACGCCUCACUCUCACACGGGUCUAGCCACCGCCGUCGAGUCACCGCCGUCGAGCCACCGCAGCAGCCGUCAAGAACUGAGAACGCUUCACUCUCACCGUCGAGAACUGAGAACGCCUCACUCUCACCGUCGUCUCUUUGCUGUCUCCUACUCUCCCUAUUGCAUGUUCUGUUGAAGCCUUGAAGGUGCCUUCGAGCUUCCAGAGUUCCAGGAAAUCAUUCAGCUAUCCUUUUUCUUUCAACCUGAUGGUCCAGUGAUUGGAAAUGGCUCUUUUAAAUCGUCAUUCUUAUUUCCAGGAAUUCUACACAAGGUUCGAUAUUGUUAGGGGCAAUUUCGUAUGGAAAAAUGUCAUUUUCAGAGGGGGAGAAUAAAAAUUCAGAAAAGCACCCUGCAUCAUAUCAACUAAUAAUACACAAGGUUCUGUAUUGUUAGUGAUUAAAUGUUUUUUCUAAACCCUGCUGCUGCUGUUUUUUAAUUUAUGAAUAUACUAUUUUUGAAUUUUUGUUGUUAGAUUUAUUGAUUUCAGAGUUUAGGGUGAUUCAUGAAAUUGAGAAUUGGAUUAUUGGUACUUUUCUAUAUGUAUACUUGUUCUAUGUCUUGGUGUUGAGUCUCACAAAUAUUCUCAAUUACUUACAGCUAUGAUUUCCUUCUUGAAUGAGAUUUUAUUUUUCCAAAA